GAUGAACGCUGGCGGCGUGCCUUAUACAUGCAAGUCGAGCGGCCGGACGAGAAGCUUGCUUUUCUGAUGUUAGCGGCGGACGGGUGAGUAACCCGUGGAUAACCUACCUAUAAGACUGGGACAACGUCGGGAAACCGGAGCCAAUACAGGAUAAUAUUUUGAAACGCAUGGUUCAAAAGUGAAAGACGGUCUUGAUGUCACUUAUAGAUGGAUCCGCGCUGCAUUAGCUAGUUGGUAAGGUAACGGCUUACCAAGGCAACGCUGCAUAGCCGACCUGAGAGGGUGAUCAGCCACACUGGAACUGAGACACGGUCCAGACUCCUACGGGAGGCAGCAGUGGGGAAUUUUCGGCAAUGGGCGAAAGCCUGACGGAGCAACGCCGCGUGAGUGAUGAAGGUCUUCGGAUCGUAAAACUCUGUUAUUAGGAAAGAACAGAAGUGUAAGUAACUGUGCACAUCUUGACGGUACCUAAUCAGAAAGCCACGGCUAACUACGUG
rnacentral:rRNA from 1 species